rnacentral:rRNA from 1 species
UACAGAGGUCUCGAGCGUUAGGCGGAAUCACUGGGCUUAAAGCGUGUGUAGGCGGAUCGGUAAGUACCUUGUGAAAUCCCACAGCUUAACUGUGGAACUGCUUGGUAUACUGCCAGUCUUGAGCCACUUAGGGGCUACCGGAACAAAUGGUGGAGCGGUGAAAUGCGUAGAUAUCAUUUGGAACGCCAAUGGUGAAAACAGGUAGCUGGGAGUGUGCUGACGCUGAGACACGAAAGCCAGGGGAGCGAACGGG